rnacentral:rRNA from 1 species
UACGUAGGUGGCAAGCGUUAUCCGGAAUUAUUGGGCGUAAAGAGCGCGCAGGUGGUUGAUUAAGUCCGAUGUGAAAGCCCACGGCUUAACCGUGGAGGGUCAUUGGAAACUGGUCGACUUGAGUGCAGAAGAGGGAAGUGGAAUUCCAUGUGUAGCGGUGAAAUGCGUAGAGAUAUGGAGGAACACCAGUGGCGAAGGCGGCUUCCUGGUCUGUAACUGACACUGAGGCGCGAAAGCGUGGGGAGCAAACAGGAUUAGAUACCCGGGUAGUCCCU